rnacentral:rRNA from 1 species
UACGUAGGAGGCGAGCGUUGCCCGGAUUUAUUGGGCGUAAAGGGCGCGUAGGCGGCCACGCACGUCCGUUGUGAAAUCGCCCGGCUCAACUGGGCGGGGUCGGCGGAUACGGCGUGGCUGGAGCAAGCUAGGGGGCAAUGGAAUUCCCGGUGUAGUGGUGGAAUGCGUAGAUAUCGGGAGGAACACCAGUGGCGAAGGCGGUUGCCUGGAGCUUUGCUGACGCUGAGGCGCGAAAGCGUGGGGAGCGAGUCCGG